rnacentral:lncRNA from 10 species
GGGCCCGGCUGUGUGUGCUCUGGGGUGCCUGCCCCGCCACAGGGAAGAAUAAACCCAGACUCAAAUCAUAGGAAAUUCAUCAAAUGUGCUUCUCAGAGCUCUGUCUUUCAAGGUCUGUUUCCUUGCCAUAUGAUCUCUAUAAACCAAAUCACUGUUAGCCAGGGCACAGGACCAGAGGCGCCGGAGGCUCAUGGAUAAUGAAUGCCAAAUGCAUGUGACAAUAGACUGAUCAGAAAGCAGAAUAGAAAUUUCUGAGUUGUGCUUUUAUAUAUGUAUACACACACAGACAGGCACACACCUAUGUGUGUGCACACACUCAAGCACACACACAUGCAUGCAUAUCACACACACACACACACACGGGUCAAGCACACAAUAUAUCUUAAUGUAUAAAGGCCAGUUGUGGUCCUUGGUGCCAGAUUCAGAUAACUCAUCUCUCAGUUACUUUGUCAAGACAAAGAAGCCUGUGGAUCAGAAGGAUAAAAUGGAAGAGGAAAACAAAUCAGAACCCCGUUUAGCUGGGGACACUCAAUGUGGAGGAGGCACAGAUUUGACUUUGAAAUUUAGGAUGCCUUGCACUCAGCAACUAACACAGGACACAGCACACAAGGGGGCCUCAACUGAAAAAUGAAAAUCAAGGACUUAUUCCUGGGCACCAAAGGUCUGACCAACCCCUUCACUCACUAACCAGUUUCCAGUGUGACCAAGACAGAGAACACAGGACAGAAACUAGCAGGCCACCAGCUGAAGGCAAAAAGGUGAGGACACUGAGUCUUAGGGAGGUUAAGAGAAGUGCCUAUAAUAUUUCUGUUGGUAUAUCAAAAUAAUUGAGAUUUCAACCCAGAUCAGCGUGGUUCUGAAGGCCAUACUCUUCCUUGCAAACAAAUGGGCCAAUCAGCGAC